GGGCGAUUAGCUCAGUUGGUAGAGCGCGUCGUUUACACCGAUGAUGUCGGCGGUUCGAG
rnacentral:tRNA from 1 species